rnacentral:rRNA from 1 species
GACGAACGCUGGCGGCGUGCCUAAUACAUGCAAGUAGAACGCUGAAGGAGGAGCUUGCUUCUCUGGAUGAGUUGCGAACGGGUGAGUAACGCGUAGGUAACCUGCCUGGUAGCGGGGGAUAACUAUUGGAAACGAUAGCUAAUACCGCAUAAUAGCAGUUAUUGCAUGAUAACUGUUUGAAAGGUGCAAUUGCACCACUACCAGAUGGACCUGCGUUGUAUUAGCUAGUUGGUGGGGUAACGGCUCACCAAGGCGACGAUACAUAGCCGACCUGAGAGGGUGAUCGGCCACACUGGGACUGAGACACGGCCCAGACUCCUACGGGAGGCAGCAGUAGGGAAUCUUCGGCAAUGGACGGAAGUCUGACCGAGCAACGCCGCGUGAGUGAAGAAGGUUUUCGGAUCGUAAAGCUCUGUUGUAAGAGAAGAACGAGUGUGAGAGUGGAAAGUUCACACNGNGACGG